UUGUGUCUUUCGGGUCUUGUAAUGUUAUGUUGAUGGGGGGGCGGCCUGGCCCCUUUUGCCGAUGUGGGGGGGGUCUGCCUGGUCUUCAGCGGGGUGGCUGGGUGGCAGGCCCUUAUGCGUUUGGUUUUUCAGUAAUGUUGAAGGUUGUGGUGUUUUUUUUCGGCGGAGCGGGGAGGGGGGUGCUUGUCCGGGCGGUAUAGCUUUUGCUCGUGGUUAUUGGUGACGUGUCCAGGGGAGUGGGCUGUCUGGUUGCCUUUUUCCUUAAUACGUCGUUUUUUUUUAAUGUUUUCGAUAAUAGUUUGCUGCGGAUGCGAUGCGCAGGGGUCUUGAGCUUGGAGGGCUUCGAAUCUGUUUUUUAUUGGGAUUUCCAUUGGUUGAGGGCUUCUUUUUUGUUUCAUAUUUUCGUUUUUUUCGUCGCGCUCUUCUUGUGAAUCGCUUUCUUCUUCUUUUAAAUUUUCUUGUCUGAUGUUUUUUUGUUCCUGUUUACCAGAUUUGGAGGCGGAUUGAGUUUCCGCGUCUUUUGUACAGCAGGUCUUAUGCUGCUAUCUUUAAUUAUCUGUUGUUUUUCUAUCUUCCUUUUGAUCCCUUUUUUUGUCGGGCUUCUGGCGGAUUCCGCCUCCUUGGUUUCAAUUUCAUUCCUUUCCUCUUCUAUUUUUAUAUUGUUUGUAGUAGGGGUGAUGUUAUCACUAUUGUAGUAUCGGAAACAGGAUAGGAUUAGGAUAAUUUAGAUUUGUAAAAUUCUCCUAAUACUAUUUAUUAAGAUAAAUGAAAAUAUCAGAGAUUAAUUGGACAGAGAACUAUAAAUGUUUAACUUGAACUAAAACACAAAAGUCUUAUUCCGCUGAAAUCACUCUCGCAACUCUAUAACUCUAACAACUCGAUCUCUCUACAACACUAGCAACUAUACAACUCUCGUCUUCGGCAUCUGCACUCGCAC
rnacentral:misc_RNA from 1 species